AUUGAACGCUGGCGGCAUGCCUUACACAUGCAAGUCGAACGGCAGCACGGGAGCUUGCUCCUGGUGGCGAGUGGCGAACGGGUGAGUAAUGCAUCGGAACGUGCCCUGAAGUGGGGGAUAACGUAGCGAAAGUUACGCUAAUACCGCAUAUUCUGUGAGCAGGAAAGCAGGGGAUCUUCGGACCUUGCGCUUUUGGAGCGGCCGAUGUCGGAUUAGCUAGUUGGUGGGGUAAAGGCCCACCAAGGCGACGAUCCGUAGCGGGUCUGAGAGGAUGAUCCGCCACACUGGAACUGAGACACGGUCCAGACUCCUACGGGAGGCAGCAGUGGGGAAUUUUGGACAAUGGGCGCAAGCCUGAUCCAGCCAUGCCGCGUGAGUGAAGAAGGCCUUCGGGUUGUUAAAGGCUCUUUCGGUUGGGGAAGAAAGUUAGCUUGGGUUAAUACCCUGAGUAGAUGACGGUACCCGGCAUAAAGAAGACACCGGCUAACUACGUGCCAGCAGCCGCGGUAA
rnacentral:rRNA from 1 species